UUAAAAUUGCAUAUCAAACGAAAUUUUGAGUAGACAUUUUGAGUAAACAUAGGCAACAGUAAAUACAUUCACUGAUAUAGAAAAAGUUUUAGUUUUCAGAAAAAAACUCUCCAGCCCGAGUUCUAAAUUGACGAAACUCACUGAAUUUAUGAUUCCACCAUAUUUUUCAAGAAUAAUAAUUUUAAGAAGGUGAAGGCAAGUUAGUGACCCAACCUUAGAGCGCUUUUAAAACAGCCAAGAGGAAUUAUUUCAUCAUAUCUGAUCAGCUGCAUUGUAUUUCUGAAGCACUGUGCUUACUUCUCUGAGUGAUAAAACGUCAUAUCCCAUGAAGAUAAGUUACUAUUUUUACUACUUAGAAUCGGAGAGUAGCUGAAUAUUUAUAGUACGUUUGUCUCCGACGACAUUCGGUAACAAACAUGGAGAGUUUCUAUUUAACGUUGUUUGUUUGUUACAUGGCCUAUGCCUACAAUCGAAAAUGUGUAGCUUUAUCGAUGCCCAAAUUGAUCGAAGAAGGUUUGGAAACGAGCCAUGCUGUGUUAUAAAAAUAGAUAGACAUAGAUAAAGUUGGAAGAAAGGAAGGUUAGUGAAUGAACCAAUGUUUGGAAUCAAUCCAUUUUCUUCAUAACUUUACGGGGGAUGCAAAGAAUAUAUUUCACCAAAGAAAUUUAAUUUAAGUAAAUGUUCCUUUUUUCAUGCUGAUAAAAAAUCUGUAUGAUAAUUUAAGAUAAUUUUAGUUUUUUUUUUGUGACUUAAGAAUUAUAUUCCGUAUCAAACUGGUUUGGAUACGUAUUGAUUCUAUUCAAUUUAU